rnacentral:rRNA from 1 species
GAUGAACGCUGGCGGCGUGCCUAAUACAUGCAAGUCGAGCGAACGGACGAGAAGCUCGCUUCUCUGAUGUUAGCGGCGGACGGGUGAGUAAUACGUGGAUAACCUACCUAUAAGACUGGGAUAAGUUCGGGAAACCGGAGAUAAUACCGGUUAAUAGUUUGAACCGCAUGGUUCAAAAGUGAAAGACGGUUUAGCUGACCCUUAUAGAUGGAUCCGCGCUGCAUUAGCUAGUUGGUAAGGUAACGGCUUACCAAGGCAACGAUGCAUAGCCGACCUGAGAGGAUGAUCAGUCACACUGGAACUGAGACACGGUCCAGACUCCUACGGGAGGCAGCAGUAGGGAAUCUUCCACAAUGGGCGAAAGCCUGACGGAGCAACGCCGCGUGAGUGAAGAAGGUCUUCGGAUCGUAAAACUCUGUUAUUAGGGAAGAACAGAUGUGUAAGUAACUGUGCACAUCUUGACGGUACCUACUCAGAAAGCCACGGCUAACUACGUG